rnacentral:tRNA from 1 species
GGGAGUAGAUAGGCAGCUGGUGUGCCUCCUGGUCUUCAAAACCUGUGUGGGGCGUUAAGAGCGUCCCGGGUGAGUUCGAUUCUCACGUGCUCCCGCCA